rnacentral:rRNA from 1 species
UCGAUAACGAACGAGACCUUAACCUGCUAACUAGUGGACGCUAUGAUUUUAUAGUUGACACUUCUUAGAGGGACAAAGUAUGUUUAAUACUUGGAAGUUUGAGGCAAUAACAGGUCUGUGAUGCCCUUAGAUGUUCUGGGCCGCACGCGCGCUACACUGAUAAAGGCAGCGAGUACUUUCCUUCUUUGAAAAAAGUGGGUAAUCUUGUGAAACUUUAUCGUGAUGGGGAUAGAGCAUUGUAAUUAUUGCUCUUUAAACGAGGAAUUCCUAGUAAGCGCAAGUCAUCAGCUUGCGUUGAUUACGUCCCUGCCCUUUGUACACACCGCCCGUCACUACUACCGAUUGAAUGGCU